UGCGAAGGGGGCUAGCGUUGCUCGGAAUCACUGGGCGUAAAGCGCACGUAGGCGGAUCUUUAAGUCAGGGGUGAAAUCCUGGAGCUCAACUCCAGAACUGCCUUUGAUACUGGGGAUCUCGAGUCCGGAAGAGGUGAGUGGAACUCCGAGUGUAGAGGUGAAAUUCGUAGAUAUUCGGAAGAACACCAGUGGCGAAGGCGGCUCACUGGUCCGGUACUGACGCUGAGGUGCGAAAGCGUGGGGAGCAAACAGG
rnacentral:rRNA from 1 species